AUCUCUUAGGAUAGAUAUUGCUCUUCUCUUGAGUCAAUGUUAGAAGGGUACCAGAAGGUGAGACUUCUGGUCAAAAGAAACUGCUGCACUCUGAAAAAUGAGCUGCUGUCUUCCAUGUUUGGGGAAACUCAUCCAAGCAUGCUGACAAGGUCUCUACUUGAUCCAUCAGUUAACAUGGCAGGAUCUACUUUUGAACCCUGGAAUACCAGAGUUUGGACCUGAAUCCCUGGAGUUCACCAAUGACACAAGGUGUAGGAAUCAGAGCAUCUGACCAGCUCUGAGUGAAAGCUCACAUCCUUACAUUACAAACCACUUAAUUGUUUUUGUUUUUAAUUGUAUCCUUAUUAAAUGACUGGCUAAUGUGCACUCAGCACUUCCAAACAGGCUAGAUAGUCUCCUGGCCUCUGCAGUAUAUUCAGCGCUAUUUUUUUGAGCUUUCUGAGUUGCCUCAGACAUUCCGCCUUUGUCUUGUUGGAUUUCCUUUGCUCACAGCUUUAUGAUGUAGCUUGACUGCAAUGGUACUUCCAUGACCAUCUAUCAGUACCAUUGUAGUCAAGCAAUAAUUAUUUAUUAUUGUAAAUAAUAAGCCUUUUUAAGUUAUUUUAACUUUUGGGAUGGAUUGCUGACUUGGAGUCUGUUGAACUGGUAAUGGGCAGUGUGAACAUGCAAAGAAGUACUCAAUGUAGAAAUUUCAUGUGAAGUUGUCAUGAGUUCAGUUGCACCUGAUUAUUUCUAAGUAUAAUCCCUUACCUCAAACCAGUGGGUAGAUCUUAAUUGUACUCUUAUAUCGUUCAUCAUCUUCGUUGCAGCACAGAUUGCAAUGUAGAGUUCUUUGAACAAUGGUUGUUCAUGUGAAUCUCUACUAAGUCUGUCCACAGCUGACUUUGGUAGCCAUGCCACAUUUGUUUCAAAUAUCUCAUUAUAUGUCCAGUGCUGGCAGUGUGUGAGUUGCUUGCAGAUUGCUUCCAUGACAGCACCUGAUCUGGUGAUGGUCUGUGUGAAAAUCAGCAGUUAUUGUCCUCUGACUCUGCUUUGUUGCAAACAAAUUGCUUGGAGCU
ensembl:lncRNA